rnacentral:rRNA from 1 species
UACGUAGGUGGCAAGCGUUGUCCGGAUUUACUGGGCGUAAAGGGCGUGCGGGCGGUUUGUUAAGUCUAGGGUGAAAGCUCCCGGCUCAACUGGGAGAGGUCCUUGGAUACUGGCAGACUUGAGGAGGGUAGAGGAGAGUGGAAUUCCCGGUGUAGUGGUGAAAUGCGCAGAUAUCGGGAGGAACACCAAUGGCGAAGGCAGCUCGCUGGGACGUUACUGACGCUGAGACGCGAAAGCGUGGGGAGCAAACAGG